rnacentral:lncRNA from 1 species
AUGGGGGGAGUGUGCAAGGGGAUAUGUUUUCGAGGGGUGUGUGUGUGUGCAUGGGAGAGUGUGUACCAUGUCAUGCAUUGCCAUGCAGUGCAGUGCCGUGCAGUGCCAUGCAGUGCAGUACCAUGCAGUGCAGUGCCAUGCAUUGCCAUGCAUUGCAUUGCCAUGCAUUGCAAUACCAUGCAUUGCCAUGCAGUGCAUUGCCAUGCAGUGCAGUACCAUGCAUUGCCAUGCAGUGCAGUACCAUGCAGUGCAUUGCCAUGCAGUGCAGUACCCCGCAUUGCCAUGCAGUGUGAUGCAGUGCAGUACCAUGCAUUGCAGUGCAUUACCCCGCAUUGCCAUGCAGUGCAGUACCAUGCAUUACCCCGCAUUACCCCUCAUUACCCCGCAUUGCCCUGCAUUGCCAUGCAGUGCAUUACCCCGCAUUACCCCACAUUGCCAUGCAGUGCAUUACCCUGCAUUACCCCGCAUUGCCCUGCAUUGCCAUGCAUUGCCAUGCAGUGCAUUACCCCACAUUACCCCGCAUUGCCCCGCAUUGCCCUGCAUUGCAGUACCAUGCAUUACCCCGCAUUACCCCACAUUGCCCUGCAUUGCAGUACCAUGCAUUACCCCGCAUUACCCCACAUUGCCCUGCAUUACCCCGCAUUGCCAUGCAGUGCAGUACCAUGCAGUGCAUGGCAGUGCAUUACCCCGCAUUACCCUGCAUUGCCCCUCAUUACCCCGUAUUGCCCUGCAUUGCCCUGUAUUGCAGCACCAUGCAUUACCCCACAUUACCCCGCAUUACCCCGCAUUACCCCGCAUUGCCCUGCAUUGCCCUGCAUUGCCAUGCAGUGCAUUACCCUGCAUUACCCCGCAUUGCCCUGCAUUACCCCGCAUUGCCAUGCAGUACCAUGCAGUGCAUUACCCUGCAUUACCCCGCAUUGCCCUGCAUUACCCCGCAUUGCCAUGCAGUGCAGUACCAUGCAGUACCAUGCAGUACCAUGCAGUACCAUGCAGUGCAGUACCAUGCAUUACCCCUCAUUACCCCGCAUUACCCCGCAUUGCCCUGCAUUGCAGUACCAUGCAGUGCAGUACCAUGCAGUGCAUUACCCCACAUUACCCCACAUUACCCCUCAUUACCCCACAUUACCCCACAUUACCUCGCAUUACUCCACAUUACCCCACAUUACCCCACAUUACCCCUCAUUACCCCACAUUACCCCUCAUUACCCCGCAUUACCCCGCAUUACCCUGCAUUACCCCGCAUUACCCCGCAUUACCCCUCAUUACCCCACAUUACCCCGCAUUACCCCUCAUUACCCCGCAUUACCCCUCAUUACCCCACAUUACCCCUCAUUACCCCGCAUUACCCCUCAUUACCCCUCAUUACCCCACAUUACCCCACAUUACCCCGCAUUACCCCGCAUUGCCAUGCAGUGCAUUACCCCGCAUUACCCCGCAUUACCCCGCAUUACCCAGCAUUACCCCGCAUUGCCAUGCAGUGCAUUACCCCGCAUUACCCCGCAUUACCCCGCAUUGCCCUGCAUUGCAGUACCAUGCAUUACCCCGCAUUACCCCACAUUACCCCUCAUUACCCCGCAUUGCCCUGCAUUGCCCUGCAUUGCAGUACCAUGCAUUACCCCGCAUUACCCUGCAUUACCCCUCAUUACCCCGCAUUACCCCGCAUUGCCCUGCAUUGCAGUACCAUGCAUUACCCCGCAUUACCCCAGCAUUGCCCUGCAUUGCAGUACCAUGCAUUACCCCGCAUUACCCCGCAUUGCCCUGCAUUGCCCUGCAUUGCCAUGCAGUGCAUUACCCUGCAUUACCCCGCAUUGCCAUGCAGUGCAGUACCAUGCAGUGCAUUACCCUGCAUUACCCCGCAUUGCCAUGCAGUGCAGUACCAUGCAGUACAUUACCCCGCAUUACCCCUCAUUACCCCUC